rnacentral:lncRNA from 1 species
GAUUGAAGUAUCCCGAGGCAGGCGAGGCAAGCACGAGGAAAAGAAUCGACGUCAGUUCUAGCAGCGACAUCGCGUCUGCGCCAGCAGCGUCAGCGUCAGCGACAAUCAAAUGACGGAUGACACGUGUGUAGCCCCAAACGAAAAACAAAUGGUAUUCUUCAAAGGAUUUAUACCGUAUCAAGGGAUGAAUAUAAAAAUAGAAAGAAAGUAGGAACAAAUAAAUGAAUUAAAAUUGUAUAAAAUAUUUUUUACAAGAACGAGUAAGGAAUACAAAAACAACGAUAAGAGUCGCGAAAUGUUCGCGUAUGAAAGAUAUUAAAUCGGAUUACUGGAACGGAAUAAAAAA